UGAAGCAUGGGGACGGCAGUUUGCUGGACGUACGCGUCCCGGGGACGUCCCGGGGAUGAUACGUGAAAAAUACGCGUAAAAUACGUCCCCGAGGACGUAUUUUUAACUCCCAUUUUUUUAAUUAAUUUUUAAAUAAAAAAUACGUCGAAAAUACGUUGACCAGACGGUCAAAUACGUAUUUGAAGCAAAAAAUACGUUUUAGUCAAAAAUUUAAAACUUCUAAUUUGUAAAACCCUAAUUCGCGCCUCCCCCACUCACCAUUUACGUUCGCACUCUCCUCUCUGACCCUAAUUCGCACUCUCCUCUCUGACCCACCCUGCGCCACCCCGCCGCUCGCCGUCGCGCCUCCCUGCGCCAGCCCGUCGUCGCCGUCGCGCCGCCCUGCGCCCCGCCGCUGUAAAGCCAUGAAUACUACAAAUUCUAGUUCUACAUCUUCUUCUACCACAUCUUAUUUGAGGGAAGAGGAAGAGGAGGAGGAGGAGAAAGACGAUGAUGAGUGAUCUGGGCUACUAACAUUUUAUUGUGUUUCAUGAAGUAUUAUCUGUUAAGAAGACUGUUUUAUUUCAUUAUUUGCUAUUUGGAACUUUGUUAUGAUGAAUUAGUAGUGUUUUACUUAUAUUCUUGGUGAAUUAUGAAUUUAUAAUAUAUAUAAAAUAUAUUUUAAAUAAAAAAACUAAAACGUAUUUUUGA